rnacentral:tRNA from 1 species
GUAGAUUUAGUAUAAUAUAAUAUGUUGGGUUUAGGUCCCAAAGAUGAAUAUCUACU